AAAUUGAAGAGUUUGAUCAUGGCUCAGAUUGAACGCUGGCGGCAGGCCUAACACAUGCAAGUCGAACGGUAACAGGAAGCAGCUUGCUGCUUCGCUGACGAGUGGCGGACGGGUGAGUAAUGUCUGGGAAACUGCCUGAUGGAGGGGGAUAACUACUGGAAACGGUAGCUAAUACCGCAUAACGUCGCAGGACCAAAGAGGGGGACCUUCGGGCCUCUUGCCAUCAGAUGUGCCCAGAUGGGAUUAGCUUGUUGGUGAGGUAACGGCUCACCAAGGCGACGAUCCCUAGCUGGUCUGAGAGGAUGACCAGCCACACUGGAACUGAGACACGGUCCAGACUCCUACGGGAGGCAGCAGUGGGGAAUAUUGCACAAUGGGCGCAAGCCUGAUGCAGCCAUGCCGCGUGUAUGAAGAAGGCCUUCGGGUUGUAAAGUACUUUCAGCGGGGAGGAAGGGGAUAAGGCUAAUAACCUUGUUCAUUGACGUUACCCGCAGAAGAAGCACCGGCUAACUCCGUGCCAGCAGCCGCGGUAAUACGGAGGGUGCAAGCGUUAAUCGGAAUUACUGGGCGUAAAGCGCACGCAGGCGGUCUGUCAAGUCGGAUGUGAAAUCCCCGGGCUCAACCUGGGAACUGCAUUCGAAACUGGCAGGCUUGAGUCUUGUAGAGGGGGGUAGAAUUCCAGGUGUAGCGGUGAAAUGCGUAGAGAUCUGGAGGAAUACCGGUGGCGAAGGCGGCCCCCUGGACAAAGACUGACGCUCAGGUGCGAAAGCGUGGGGAGCAAACAGGAUUAGAUACCCUGGUAGUCCACGCCGUAAACGAUGUCUACUUGGAGGUUGUGCCCUUGAGGCGUGGCUUCCGGAGCUAACGCGUUAAGUAGACCGCCUGGGGAGUACGGCCGCAAGGUUAAAACUCAAAUGAAUUGACGGGGGCCCGCACAAGCGGUGGAGCAUGUGGUUUAAUUCGAUGCAACGCGAAGAACCUUACCUGGUCUUGACAUCCACAGAACUUUCCAGAGAUGGAUUGGUGCCUUCGGGAACUGUGAGACAGGUGCUGCAUGGCUGUCGUCAGCUCGUGUUGUGAAAUGUUGGGUUAAGUCCCGCAACGAGCGCAACCCUUAUCCUUUGUUGCCAGCGGUCCGGCCGGGAACUCAAAGGAGACUGCCAGUGAUAAACUGGAGGAAGGUGGGGAUGACGUCAAGUCAUCAUGGCCCUUACGACCAGGGCUACACACGUGCUACAAUGGCGCAUACAAAGAGAAGCGACCUCGCGAGAGCAAGCGGACCUCAUAAAGUGCGUCGUAGUCCGGACUGGAGUCUGCAACUCGACUCCAUGAAGUCGGAAUCGCUAGUAAUCGUGGAUCAGAAUGCCACGGUGAAUACGUUCCCGGGCCUUGUACACACCGCCCGUCACACCAUGGGAGUGGGUUGCAAAAGAAGUAGGUAGCUUAACCUUCGGGAGGGCGCUUACCACUUUGUGAUUCAUGACUGGGGUGAAGUCGUAACAAGGUAACCGUAGGGGAACCUGC
rnacentral:rRNA from 1 species